GACGAACGCUGGCGGCGUGCUUAACACAUGCAAGUCGAACGGAAAGGCCCUGCUUGCAGGGUGCUCGAGUGGCGAACGGGUGAGUAACACGUGGGUGAUCUGCCCCUUACUUUGGGAUAAGCCUGGGAAACUGGGUCUAAUACUGGAUAGGACCAUGCUGUAGGUGGUGUGGUGGAAAGAUUAGUUUCGGUAAGGGAUGAGCUCGCGGCCUAUCAGCUUGUUGGUGGGGUAAUGGCCUACCAAGGCGUCGACGGGUAGCCGGCCUGAGAGGGUGGACGGCCACAUUGGGACUGAGAUACGGUCCAGACUCCUACGGGAGGCAGCAGUGGGGAAUAUUGCACAAUGGGCGCAAGCCUGAUGCAGCGACGCCGCGUGGGGGAUGACGGCCUUCGGGUUGUAAACUCCUUUCAGCCAUGACGAAGCCCUUGUGGUGACGGUAGUGGUAGAAGAAGCACCGGCUAACUACGUG
rnacentral:rRNA from 1 species